rnacentral:rRNA from 1 species
UACGAAGGGGGCUAGCGUUGUUCGGAUUUACUGGGCGUAAAGCGCACGUAGGCGGAUCGAUCAGUCAGGGGUGAAAUCCCAGAGCUCAACUCUGGAACUGCCUUUGAUACUGUCGAUCUGGAGUAUGGAAGAGGUGAGUGGAAUUCCGAGUGUAGAGGUGAAAUUCGUAGAUAUUCGGAGGAACACCAGUGGCGAAGGCGGCUCACUGGUCCGGUACUGACGCUGAGGUGCGAAAGCGUGGGGAGCAAACAGG